GUGUGUACCCACAUAAGGUGGGUCAGAUGAAGAAUGAAUGAAGGGGAAGGUUAAGGGCUGUCCAGAGGACGGUGCCAGAGCCAGAGCCUUGUGGGUAUUUCAUCAGUUUUUUCAAACUGGGUAAAACGUCAAGGACACAAUCGGAAACAAUCCGAGUCCAGAGUGUAGAGAGCAGACAAACAAACCGUUUAACUCUUAGCGUUCUCACCGCUUGCCUAGCAUGCCUCUGGAGGAUGCAAUGUUACUCAAGCUAGAGCUAGGCUACAUUGCUUUGCCAGGGAAUAGGACCAUGAGAACCGGAGACAUGGCCUGCUUCUUUAUCUCCUAAACUCUGUAGCUCUGUGGUGCUUCCCAGAAACACUUGGUCUACCAGGAGACACUCUGACGCACACACCACGACCUGGCUGGGAUCAGCAAGGCCUCAUCCUGCCGUUACUAUACCUGCACACACCUAUGCAGGCACGCAGGUUCUCAUCCACAUCACAAUGGAUGCUUUCAUUAGCCAAACAUCUUGGGAAGAAUCUUCAGGCAUGGCGAAUCCAGGCCUGACACUGGUCUGCCGUGAUGUCAUUGUAUGCGUCAUCCAUGGCCUGGAGAAGGGUGGCUUGUUCCUGAGGGCGCCUAUCAUAUACCUUCCAACUCCAUGUGGAGAAAAAAAAUCCUCAAUCGGGUUAAGGAAAGGAGAGUAUGGGGGGAGGGGAGAUAGACAGAGAGGAGGAGAGCAGAAAGAGAGGGAGGAGGUUACAGUGAGAGGAGAGCAGUAAGGGAAGAAAAGCUCACAUCGAGAAGUCACAUCUGGAAGUCUCCCAGCAGAGAUGCCAGUGAAAUUGAGCACUGGGAGCUGAGAGCAGCCUAAUGAAAGUCAUCGUUAUGUAAUUGCUCUUCCAUGUGCUACACUAGAGCCAGGCUCAGCCAGGACACCGUAACCAUCACAGUCUGCCUCACUCUGUCUGGAGGAUGGAAAGACAGCUAGUACACCCUUUUAAAGAAGUAACCUACCCCUCCACAUAAGAAGAAGACAUAAUACUUUUGGCAAUGAAUUAAGUCAUCUUCUUUUGACCUACCCACUGCGCCCAGGAUAAGGUUGAUGUUGCUAUGGUCGGUCUUGUCUGAGUUAU
rnacentral:lncRNA from 1 species